rnacentral:rRNA from 14 species
AGUUUGACUGGGGCGGUCGCCUCCUAAAGCGUAACGGAGGCGCGCGAAGGUUGGCUCAGAGCGGUCGGAAAUCGCUCGUUGAGUGCAAUGGCAGAAGCCAGCCUGACUGCGAGACUGACAAGUCGAGCAGAGACGAAAGUCGGCCAUAGUGAUCCGGUGGUCCCAAGUGGGAGGGCCAUCGCUCAACGGAUAAAAGGUACGCCGGGGAUAACAGGCUGAUGACCCCCAAGAGUCCAUAUCGACGGGGUUGUUUGGCACCUCGAUGUCGACUCAUCGCAUCCUGGGGCUGGAGCAGGUCCCAAGGGUAUGGCUGUUCGCCAUUUAAAGAGGUACGUGAGUUGGGUUCAGAACGUCGUGAGACAGUUCGGUCCCUAUCUGCCGUGGGUGCAGGAUACUUGAGAGGAGUUGCCCCUAGUACGAGAGGACCGGGGUGAACGAUCCACUGGUGGACCUGUUGUUGCGCCAGCAGCAGUGCAGGGUAGCUAUGAUCGGACAGGAUAACCGCUGAAGGCAUCUAAGCGGGAAGCCCCCCUCAAAACAAGGUAUCCCUGAGGACCGUGGAAGACCACCACGUCGAUAGGCCGGAGAUGUAAGCGCAGCAAUGCGUUCAGUUGACCGGUACUAAUGGCC